ensembl:lncRNA
GUAGUUGUCUGUAGGGGAAGGUGUCUGUCUGUAGGUGUCUGUAGGGGAAGGUCUGUAGGGGAGGUGUCUCUCUGUAGGGGAAGGUGUCUGUAGAGGAAGGUGUCUGUAGGGGAAGGUGUCUGUAGGGGAAGGUGUCUGUAGGGGAAGGUGUCUGUAGGGGAAGGUGUCUGUAGAGGAAGAUGUAUGUAGGGGAAGGUGUGUGUCUGUAGGGGAAGGUGUCUGUAGGGGAAGGUGUCUGUAAGGGAAGGUGUCUGUAGGGGAAGGUGUGUCUGUAGGGGAAGGUGUCUGUAGGGGAAUGUGUGUGUCUGUAGGGGAAGGUGUCUGUAGGGGAUGGUGUCUGUAAGGGAAGGUGUCUGUAGG